AUUGAACGCUAGCGGGAUGCUUUACACAUGCAAGUCGAACGAGUGGCGGACGGGUGAGUAAUAUAUCGGAACGUGCCCAGUAGCGGGGGAUAACUACUCGAAAGAGUGGCUAAUACCGCAUACUAUUGGAGCGGCCGAUAUCGGAUUAGCUAGUGGGUGGGGUAAAGUCUCACCAAGGCCACGCUCCUUCGAUGGUUUGAGAGGAGGACCAGCCACACUGGGACUGAGACACGGUCCAGAUUCCUACGGGAGGCAGCAGGGGGGAAUUUUGGACAAUGGGUGAAACCCUGAUCCAGCCAUCCCGCGUGUAUGAGAAGGCCCUAGGGUUGUAAAGUACUUUCAGUCGGGAGGCGUUACCGACAGAAGAAGCACCGGCUAACUCCGUGCCAGCAGCCGCGGUAAUAC
rnacentral:rRNA from 1 species